UGAACGCUGGCGGCGUGCUUAACACAUGCAAGUCGAACGAGAACGGGAUUGCUUGCAAUCCUUAGUAGAGUGGCGCACGGGUGAGUAACACGUAGAUAAUCUACCUUCAAGUCUGGGAUAACUGUUCGAAAGGGCAGCUAAUACCGGAUGAAGUUGUCUGGCAUAAGUUGGACAAUGAAAGAUUGCCUCUUCUUGAAAGCAAUUGUUUGGAGAUGAGUCUGCGGACCAUUAGUUUGUUGGUGGGGUAAAGGCCUACCAAGACUACGAUGGUUAGCUGGUCUGAGAGGAUGAUCAGCCACACUGGAACUGACACACGGUCCAGACUCCUACGGGAGGCAGCAGUGAGGAAUUUUGCGCAAUGGGGGAAACCCUGACGCAGCAACGCCGCGUGAGUGAAGAAGGCCCUUGGGUCGUAAAGCUCUGUCGACAGGGAAGAAAUUACUUUGUAUUAAUAGUGCAUUGUAUUGACGGUACCUGUAGAGGAAGCACCGGCUAACUCC
rnacentral:rRNA from 1 species